rnacentral:rRNA from 1 species
CCUACGGGAGGCAGCAGUAGGGAAUCUUCCACAAUGGACGCAAGUCUGAUGGAGCGACACCGCGUGAGUGAAGAAGGGUUUCGGCUCGUAAAACUCUGUUGUUGAAGAAGAACGUGCGUGAGAGUAACUGUUCACGCAGUGACGGUAUUCAACCAGAAAGUCACGGCUAAAUUCUGCCAGCAGCCGCGGUAAU